AUAUCAUCUACAUAUACUUUUAAGAAUGGAACUGCAAAGGAACCAUCAAGUUGUUGGUAAAAAGAUCCAUCGAAUUGGAAGUAGCUUAAAUCAAAACAAAAUUGUAUUA